rnacentral:rRNA from 1 species
UACGUAGGGUGCGAGCGUUGUCCGGAAUUACUGGGCGUAAAGAGCUCGUAGGCGGUUUGUCGCGUCUGCUGUGAAAACUCGGGGCUUAACCCCGGGCCUGCAGUGGGUACGGGCAGACUAGAGUGCGGUAGGGGAGACUGGAAUUCCUGGUGUAGCGGUGGAAUGCGCAGAUAUCAGGAGGAACACCGAUGGCGAAGGCAGAUCUCUGGGCCGUAACUGACGCUGAGGAGCGAAAGCGUGGGGAGCGAACAGG